rnacentral:rRNA from 1 species
GCAGUCGAGCGGAUGACAGGAGCUUGCUCCUGUAAUUCAGCGGCGGACGGGUGAGUAAUGCCUAGGAAUCUGCCUGGUAGUGGGGGACAACGUUUCGAAAGGAACGCUAAUACCGCAUACGUCCUACGGGAGAAAGCAGGGGACCUUCGGGCCUUGCGCUAUCAGAUGAGCCUAGGUCGGAUUAGCUAGUUGGUGAGGUAAUGGCUCACCAAGGCGACGAUCCGUAACUGGUCUGAGAGGAUGAUCAGUCACACUGGAACUGAGACACGGUCCAGACUCCUACGGGAGGCAGCAGUGGGGAAUAUUGGACAAUGGGCGAAAGCCUGAUCCAGCCAUGCCGCGUGUGUGAAGAAGGUCUUCGGAUUGUAAAGCACUUUAAGUUGGGAGGAAGGGCAUUAACCUAAUACGUUAGUGUUUUGACGUUACCGACAGAAUAAGCACCGGCUAACUCUGUGCCAGCAGCCGCGGUAAUACAGAGGGUGCAAGCGUUAAUCGGAAUUACUGGGCGUAAAGCGCGCGUAGGUGGUUUGUUAAGUUGGAUGUGAAAGCCCCGGGCUCAACCUGGGAACUGCAUUCAAAACUGACUGGCUAGAGUAUGGUAGAGGGUGGUGGAAUUUCCUGUGUAGCGGUGAAAUGCGUAGAUAUAGGAAGGAACACCAGUGGCGAAGGCGACCACCUGGA